rnacentral:rRNA from 1 species
UAGGGAAUCUUCGGCAAUGGACGAAAGUCUGACCGAGCAACGCCGCGUGAGUGAAGAAGGUUUUCGGAUCGUACAACUCUGUUGUUAGAGAAGAACAAGGACGUUAGUAACUGAACGUCCCCUGACGGUAUCUAACCAGAAAGCCACGGCUAACUACGUGCCAGCAGCCGCGGUAAUACGUAGGUGGCAAGCGUUGUCCGGAUUUAUUGGGCGUAAAGCGAGCGCAGGCGGUUUCUUAAGUCUGAUGUGAAAGCCCCCGGCUCAACCGGGGAGGGUCAUUGGAAACUGGGAGACUUGAGUGCAGAAGAGGAGAGUGGAAUUCCAUGUGUAGCGGUGAGAUGCGUAGAUAUAUGGAGGAACACCAGUGGCGAAAGCGGCUCUCUGGUCUGUAACUGACGCUGAGGCUCGAAAGCGUGGGGAGCAAACAGG